AGUGAACGCUGGCGGUAGGCCUAACACAUGCAAGUCGAACGGCAGCACAGUAAGAGCUUGCUCUUACGGGUGGCGAGUGGUGGACGGGUGAGGAAUACAUCGGAAUCUACUUUUUCGUGGGGGAUAACGUAGGGAAACUUACGCUAAUACCGCAUACGACCUACGGGUGAAAGCAGGGGAUCUUCGGACCUUGCGCGAUUGAAUGAGCCGAUGUCGGAUUAGCUAGUUGGCGGGGUAAAGGCCCACCAAGGCGACGAUCCGUAGCUGGUCUGAGAGGAUGAUCGGCCACACUGGAACUGGGACACGGUCCAGACUCCUACGGGAGGCAGCAGUGGGGAAUAUUGGACAAUGGGCGCAAGCCUGAUCCAGCCAUACCGCGUGGGUGAAGAAGGCCUUCGGGUUGUAAAGCCCUUUUGUUGGGAAAGAAAAGCAGCAGGUUAAUACCCCGCUGUUCUGACGGUACCCAAAGAAUAAGCACCGGCUAACUUCGUG
rnacentral:rRNA from 1 species